rfam:Apaloderma vittatum contig41012, whole genome shotgun sequence.
CAGAAAAUAGUUUAGUUAUAAAACACCAGCUUUGGGAAUUGGAGAUGGAGGUUUAAGUCCUUCUUUUUUGA